AUGAACGCUGGCGGCGUGCUUAACACAUGCAAGUCGAACGAAGCACUAUUGAAAAGAUUCUUCGGAUGAUGGAUAUAGUGACUGAGUGGCGGACGGGUGAGUAACGCGUGGGUAACCUGCCUCAUACGAGGGGGAUAACAGUUAGAAAUGACUGCUAAUACCGCAUAAGCGCACAGUACUGCAUGGUACAGUGUAGAAAACUCCGGUGGUAUGAGAUUCGGCCCGCGGAAGAUUAGGUAGUUGGUGGGGUAAUGGCCUACCAAGCCAACGAUCUAUAGCUGGUCUGAGAGGACGAACAGCCACAUUGGAACUGAGACACGGUCCAGACUCCUACGGGGAGGCAGCAGGUGGGGAAUAUUGCACAAUGGGGGAAACCCUGAUGCAGCGACGCCGCGUGAGUGAAGAAGUAUUUCGGUAUGUAAAGCUCUAUCAGCAGGGAAGAUAAUGACGGUACCUGACUAAGAAGCCCCGGCUAACUACGUG
rnacentral:rRNA from 1 species